CAUUGUCACCUUUGUCAGCAUUGCUUUUAAUACUAUCUAAAUGUUUUCUUUAAAUGUUAUUUUACCUUUCAUGUGAACUAAUUAAAAAAAACAGUAGAGGAAAAUGAUAGCUAAUUCAGACAUAGCAAGUAUAUUUAAUACAGGUUAAAAUGCUGGGGGUGAGGAAGAGAGGGAAAGGAAUGAUUAUGUAUCAGCUUGAUGUUUCCACCACUUAUUCCUCCUUGCCUUCCAAAUUCCCCUCCGGAAGCAUUUGCCGCCGUGAUUCUAGUAUAUGCCUUAUAAGCACUUUCAACUCAGAUACAAGGAAAUAAAGAAUAUUCAUAAAAGACUCCAAAGCUUAACCUAAUCACAGAAAAUGAGCCUUAACUAAAGAUCAUUGUGGUGACCAAGAUGAUCCCUGGCGUUCCCAUCAGCUGUCGGUGAACAGGACUGCGUUCUUUUCUCUGGAAUGCAGCUUUGCUCAGAGUCACUUUCUGCUGAUGAUGGGCUGGGUCUAAGAGGGAAAUGGAAGGGCUGAGCAAUUUUACAAUUGCCUUGAGAAGGGGAAAGCAAGACGGUGAAAAACCAGCUUAUGAAAACCAUGUGAAAACCCACAACACUCAUAUAGAGACAUUCUGGAGAAUGCUGGCUAGGAGAAGAAGCCAAAAUCGUCAUUGCUGCUACGUAAUACAGCUGUCAUAUGGUACAGAACGGGUUCCAUAUUGGGAAAUCAAGUGAGUUAUCUACCAUUUUUUCCACCUAUGUCACUUACUGACUUUGAGUGCCUACUUAAACCAGCCACUUCUUAUAUAUAUUUUCUUCUCUAUAAGAUUAGAGAAUUAGAUUAAUUAGAGAUGGUGAAUGCUUAGCACAUAGAUGUGAAUCUCCAGCUUCAUGUCUACAUAUUGCAAAUCAAUCCUGGAUAUCUACUUCUUAAAAUCUUCACAAUUUUAGAGCAAAAAGGAAGUGGUACUUGAAAUUAAAUUUAUUUAGCAUAUUUAGCCUAGAUGAUCUCUUAGGUUUCUUCUAGCUGCAGGAUACCAUGAUGAAGUGUUUCAUUCCAGGGGUCUUCUCCAUGCUUUUCCCUUCUCCCCUCCCUAGGGAAGGGCUCACUGAGGUGUCCUGCUUUCCCAGGUGAAUGCUAUUGUUUCUCUUGAAACUGCUAAGCUCAAAUAUAGAGCACAUGACUUCUCCUUGACCUGACUUUGCAGCAGCCAAGGAAUCAGAGGAUGAUCUGACUGCAGAAAGGGAAGUAGGAGAUGUGACAACAAAAACAAGAGAUGAAGUGAUUCGAUCGAGAAGAUAUAAGCAGCCUCCAGAAGCCAGGAAAAGGAGGGAAACAAAUUCUUCUCUCAAAUGUCCAGCGGGAAUCAAUCUUGUCGACAACUUGACUUUAGCCCAGUUAAACUGAUUUCAGACUUCCGAUCUCUAGAACGGUAAAUGCAGAAACAUCCAACCAAGGACUUUGAGGAAGUCUAAGAGGCUGGGAGAGCCAUAAAAGGCUCCAGGUUAAUGAAGCACUGAAGUGGCAGCCAGCAGAAGUGCCUCUGGUUGAAUUCUUUGGCUUUACGUUUUUCAUCCAUAUCAGGAAGUAAUUAAAUAUAAAAAGUGUGCAUUGGAAAGAGUGUCCGAUACAGAACAUUCACAGGAGGAGGGAACAUUAUAGCUCUAAUUGAGGCUAUAACCCUUUCAAGAACCUAUGCUUAUUAUGCUUAACUGGGAGACAAGACACAAGACGUUUUUUAAGACACAAAAAGAGGAAGAUUUUGAGAUCAAAGGGAAAGUUGAGCCAGCUGAUUGCCAGCAUGGGGCCCAAGGUUCUGAUGUGAUUACUUUCUUCAAGAAUCAGAAUGACUGCAGCCUCUUCACCUAAAUUUCAUAAUGAAGCAACAAAAGCCAAGAGCCCUCUCAGCACACUAAGUGGAAGAAGCUCCUUGGCAUGUAUGGGAAUAAAUCUGACAACCUAUCUGGACUAAGGCAUCACUCAAGCUAUCGCUAUAGAGAAAGAAAGAUGGUCACAGAUUCAGGGCAUAGAGACAAGAAAUGAAAUAAGGAUAAAAGUGGAUGUCGCUCAUGAUGAAUCCUGGUUUCCAACCCAAUUGGCUUUUUCACAGAACAAGUGAUAAAAAGGGCAGAAUUCAAUCUUUGAAGAGCUCCCCCAUCCUGAACCCCUUUCCAGACAAAGGAGGGAAACCCCAGACCUCCAUUGCCAACUGUGGUUAUCUCCAUCCAAAUCAUCACUUCCUGAACGGUAAGUUGGAUAGUAGAGGUUUGCCUUUGUUUGUUUGGGUUCCUCAACAGUCCAUUUUCUGUCCGAAAGUCCCAGCACUCCAAGGACACCCUGUUUUGGGGACGCCUAAUUCAACAGCCACUGUUCCAAAUUCACCGUCUUAGGUAAAGGAAACAGGAGAGGAUGCUCUCUCCUGUCUUCCUUCUCCUCAGCAGCCUCCUCCUCUUCCAGCCUUUUACCAUGGGGUCCAGCCACUCCGUUCCGUCUAAAACUACCCCCUUAGGAUGUCUCCUCUGGAAUCUGGACACCCUUGGUCUCCAGUCUGCAGUCAAGUCCCAAAAAUUAAUUUUCUAUUGUAAUAUGGCCUGGCCCAAAUAUAAAUGAGAUAAUGGCUCUCAGUGGCCUGAAAAUGGUACUUUCAAUUUCAGCAUUUUCUGGGACCUUAACAACUUCUGCCACUGCAAUGGUAAAUUGUCUUGGGUUCCUUGUGUUCAGGCUUUCUUUACCCUCUACAAUCGCCCCUCUGUCAGUCCUGCUCCACUUUCCAAAUUCUCCUUGCCUGCUCAUAACCCAACUCAACCCGCCCCCAGCUGCAGCUGGCAGACAAUAUGUCCUCUUUUGACCCAGCUGACUUCUCUCUACCCCACACCUGUUCCUGGCAUCCCCCGCAGCCAGCUCCCUUACUCCCCCUUCUAGAAGUGGUGGAAAUGGAAGGCAUUGUCCACGUUCAUGUCCCCUUCUCCCUAGCCAAUCUCAAAAUGUGCCUCAGGUUCUCCUCCUCCAAUCCAAACACUUACAUCAAAAAAUGUAAAUAUCUUACCCAGUGUUAAGAACUCACUUUGCAUGAUCUCUCUAUUAUCCUCUCUUCUACCCUCCUUCCGAAAGAAAAGGAAAGAGUGUGGCUCACAACACAGGCACAUGCAGACAGUCUUCAAAGGCAAGAUCUGAUUAAGCACAUAGAAGCCACCGCCAUCCCAGGAAUACCAGCCCACAGAUCCAGGCUGAGUGUCCUACAACUAUGUAAUUACUUCCCUUAUUGCAGGCCUUAACAACAAAGCUGCCCAUAGGCCGUUACUUUUUUAAAAACUCAAAUUUCCCAGAAGGCAGACCAAAUUCUUGCCCAGUUUCUUUCCCACCUUACAGAGGCCCUCCAAAAAUACACCCAUGUUAAUCCUGCCCUGGAAAAGGCACCAUAGUCCUUAACACUCCUUUGGUCUCCCAGUCUGUUUCAGACAUCCAGCACAAACUUAAAAAGGCUGCAGAUGGCCCUCAAACCCCACAGCAAGACCUCCUUAACCUGGCCUUCAAGGUCUUCAAUAACAGGGAUGAACAAAUUAGAACAGACAAAGCCAAAAGAGAUUGUGCUAAAUACCAGCUUCUAGCAGCAGCCAUUUGCCAGCCUAAAUAGCCUGACUGUGGCACCCAGGGGCACAAAAGACACAAUAGCAGUGCACCUCCAAGGGCAUGUUUCAAGUACAGCAAGGAAGGCCAUUUGGCACAGGCAUGUCCCAAUCCAUGGGCACCAAAAAGCCCUUGUCCCAUCUGCCAUUAGAUAGGCCACUGGAAGUCUGACUUUCCUAUCAGACAGACAGAAAAGCCUGUACCUCCAGCCCGCAUGCCCUUCACCAAGACAAAGAUGAAGAAUAACUUGAACUCCCAUAGCUUACUGGCUUAGCCGCUGAAGACUGAUGGGGCCCACGGCCCCCGGCCCCAUCUGCCAUCACUGCAUUGGAGCCCAGGGUAACUCUGUUAGUAGCAGGUAAGCCAGUCUCUUUUUAAAUCAAUACCAAGGCCACCUACUCGGCUUUACCUGAAUUUUCAGGACGAACUCAUCCCUCACAGGUCUCAGUUGUGGAGGAAGAUGGACUCAUCUUAUGUCCACAGGCCACCAGACCCCUUACUUAUUCCUUAUGUAUUAGCAUUUUCUCACACUCUUUCCUUAUCAUGCCUCACUGUCCUACUACUCCCAUUCUAGGCAGGAACCCCCAUGAAUAAUUGUCCCCUUAUUUAUCAACAACUCCUCCAAGCUGCAUACCUCUGCCGAGGAUGCCAAACAGGAUCAGAUAAAAUCUUAUAAAGGAACAGGUCGACAAGGCAGCAAAAGAAACCUCCCUUUCAUGUAGCCCCUCCCCCUGCUCCCGCUUCCUCCUGCUCCCACCACAGAAGACAUGCCUGCUUCCCUUCCACCAUGACUGAAAGUUCACUAAGGCCUCCCCAGCCAUCUUCCUGUACAGCCUGCAGAACUGUGAGCCAAUUAAACCUCUUUUCUUUAUAAAUCACCAAGUUUCAGAUAUUUCUUUACAGCAGUGUGAGAACAGACUAAUACACUAAUCAUCACAGAAAUGCAAAUCAAAACCACAACGAGACACCAUUUCACACCAGUCAGAAUGGCUAUUAUUCAAAAGUUGAAAAACAGGGCUGCAGAGAAAAGGACACUUCUACACUGUUGACAGAACGCACAUUAGUUCAGCCACUGUGGAAAGCAGUUUGGAAAUUUCUCAAAUAACUUAAAACAGAACUACCAUUCUGCCAGCAAUCCUAUGAUUGGGUAUAUAUUCAAAAGAAAACAAACUGUCUUUCCAAAACGACACAUGUACUCACGUGUUCACUGCACCUGUAUUCACAAUAGCAAAGACAUGAAACCAACCUGGGUACCCAUCAAGAGUGGACUGGAUGAAGAAAAUGUGGUACGUAUGCACCACUGAAUACUAUGCAGCAAAACAAACACGAAUGGAAUCAGGUCUUUGGCCGCAGCAUGGAUGCAACUGGAAGCCACAGUCCCGUAACUGAAUUAACACAGGAACAGAAAAUCAAAUACUGCAUGUUCUCAUUUACAAAUGGGAGGUAAGCAUUAGGUACUCCUGGAUAUAAGAUAGCAACAAUAGAAACGGGAUGACAGGAGAGGGAGGGAGGCAGGCAGGCAGGGGCUGAAAAACUAACUACUGGGUAUGCUAUGCUCGUGUGGUAGGUGACAAGAUAAUCUGUAAAUCAAACCUCAGCAUCAUGCAAUAUACCCAGG